GGGGCAGCAUCAUCAAAGCUUGCUUUGAUGGAUGGCGACCGGCGCACGGGUGAGUAACACGUAUCCAACCUGCCGACAACACUGGGAUAGCCUUUCGAAAGAAAGAUUAAUACCGGAUGGCAUAGUCUUCCCGCAUGGGAUGAUUAUUAAAGAAUUUCGGUUGUCGAUGGGGAUGCGUUCCAUUAGGCAGUUGGCUGGGUAACGGCCCACCAAACCUACGAUGGAUAGGGGUUCUGAGAGGAAGGUCCCCCACAUUGGAACUGAGACACGGUCCAAACUCCUACGGGAGGCAGCAGUGAGGAAUAUUGGUCAAUGGACGAGAGUCUGAACCAGCCAAGUAGCGUGAAGGAUGACUGCCCUAUGGGUUGUAAACUUCUUUUAUACGGGAAUAAAGUUAGCCACGUGUGGCUUUUUGUAUGUACCGUAUGAAUAAGGAUCGGCUAACUCCGUGCCAGCAGCCGCGGUAAUACGGAGGAUCCGAGCGUUAUCCGGAUUUAUUGGGUCUAAAGGGAGCGUAGGCGGGUUGUUAAGUCAGUUGUGAAAGUUUGCGGCUCAACCGUAAAAUUGCAGUUGAUACUGGCGACCUUGAGUGCAACAGAGGUAGGCGGAAUUCGUGGUGUAGCGGUGAAAUGCUUA
rnacentral:rRNA from 1 species